rnacentral:rRNA from 1 species
UCAUGGCGUCAGGAUGAACGCUAGCGUACAGGCUUAACACAUGCAAGUCGAGGGGCAGCAUGGUCUUAGCUUGCUAAGGCUGAUGGCGACCGGCGCACGGGUGAGUAACGCGUAUCCAACUUCCCCUUAGUAGGGCAUAGCCCGGCGAAAGUCGGAUUAACACCCUAUGUUUUUCCGUUGCGGGCAUCUAAUAUGGAACAAAGAUUUAUCGCUAAGGGAUGGGGAUGCGUCUGAUUAGGUAGUAGGCGGGGUAACGGCCCACCUAGCCUUCGAUCAGUAGGGGUUCUGAGAGGAAGGUCCCCCACAUUGGAACUGAGACACGGUCCAAACUCCUACGGGAGGCAGCAGUGAGGAAUAUUGGUCAAUGGCCGAGAGGCUGAACCAGCCAAGUAGCGUGCAAGGACGACGGCCCUAUGGGUUGUAAACUGCUUUUAUGCGGGGAUAAAGUCGCCCACGUGUGGGUGUUUGCAGGUACCGCAUGAAUAAGGACCGGCUAAUUCCGUGCCAGCAGCAGC